rnacentral:lncRNA from 1 species
AGCAUAAUGCUUCAAAUGAAAUGUAACAGAAGCAAUUAGACAGACACGAAAUCGAACCCGGAAUAAACAGCCACACCAAAUACAUUGCCGCUACUCAUGAUCGCCUUUCAAUCACAAACAAACAAAUAAAGAAUCCAGACAUACGACGAUAACGAAAUUAAAAUUCGACAAAAAACAAACAUAAAUAACACAAUCUCAGAGAUGCCGCAAAUACAAAUCCAAGGUUCGAGCAGUAAAGUAAAACCACAUCAAAAUUUGUUUUGAAUCGUUACCCUCGUGUCUUCGUGUUGAACCAACUACUGGGUAGUCUCUAUCAAGAUUUUGUGGUUGCUCCGUCAAAGUUGUAAAGGCGGUGUACGGAUUUGAGCGAGUACGCGGUGAUUCUUUGAGUCAAGGCAUCCAAGACAUUCCAAAAUCCAAUGGGCCAAAAACCAUUUCAAUAGAACCCCUGCAUUGAAAACCCAAUAACAACGAAGCAACGAACUAUGUCCAUGAUCGAAACACCACCAUUAACAUCGUCCACACGGUAAUGCAUGAUUCCAUGGUUGUAGUGAUGUUUUGAGGCGUUUGUGAUGGCAAAUCGGGCCGAAUCUUGUGGAGAGUGUGGUUGGAACGGCGAGGCGGAUGAAGGCGUGACGAUGACGGGGUUUAUGAAUGUGAUGGCAAAUCGGGCCGAAUCUUGUGGAGAGUGUGGUUGGAACGGCGAGGCGGAUGAAGGCGUGACGAUGACGGGGUUUAUGAUAGUGGAUGCGAUACUGUUAUGAGGUUGAGGGAGAAGAAAGCGAAACCGUCAUGAUUUGGAUGGUGGUUAGGGUGGCGGCGAUGAUGUUUGCGACGAGGGUUUGGUUUUUGUGUGAAGAUGUAGAGGGUUUGUGU